GAAUUUCCUUUCUUUCAAUCUUCAUUCUUUUCAUUCUUGCCCAAUCCAAUGUCAAAGAAUUUUAGACCUAAAGUCUAAUAUCACUCAUAUGACGCGUGGUAUUGAGAAACUAAAAUAAAAGAGCCUUAAAUAAAUUUAAUUUCGAGCUCUUCAUCUCCCACUAGAGCAUUAAAAUUCCCUUCCUUUCAACUUCUUUCUUCAAAAUCCAUCUCAUUUCUUGACUUUGCAAAUAAAAACUCAUUUAAAAUCACAAUAUACUUCAAAACCUCUUCUCCAUUUGAAAAAAUCCCCAAUUUUCUCCUCGCCGUCACUUUUCUCUUCUUCUUCCUUUUCCGGCGUGCCUCCUUUUUCCAGUAAUUCCUUUGUUGCCUCCACCUUCGCUGCCUACAAUAGCUUUCCGCCUCACCUUGCAUUGUUCGCUUGUCGCUUGCCGACGUGCUCUCACCACCAUCAGGAAGGACUCAGCUGUUGCACAUCGUCGAAGACCCCAUUGCUCACGGCGCUGCCAACAUUCACCUACAUGUUGUCUCACCAAUGCGUGUCAUCCCUCUAUCAUUUGAUGCUAUUGCUGCUUGUAGUGUCGUUUCUUCAUCUAGCGGGUCUGUCUUCUUCGAUGGUCUUGGAGCAAACCGAAACCCAACUGAUUCGGUUCAAACCGGACCCAUUUGCUUUGAUUUUUUUUGGUGAUUUGUGAGACGUUGUUUGUAUAAAGACCCGACCAUAGUAUUAGCAAGUAUACCCACCUGCAAAAGAAUUUCUGGUGUAUCAAAGGAGACAAAAAAAAGGGAUUUCUUUCACUUGGUUCCUCUCCUCAUCUUGUUAGGCCUCUUCCUGCAAAUCCGCAAGUGAAUAUACUUCUUCCAUCCAAGAGGCCAUUAGACGUUACUUUGGCUGCAUCUCUUAUACACCCUUAUUUGGCUCCUUCUUUACCAUCCUUCUUGACCUUCAGGAUAAUCUCCCUAUUUGUCCAUAUCCUCUUGAUGAUGUUGGUGAGCUUUUAUUGGGUUAUGUGGUUCAACCUUUAGAACCUUCGAGCAAAAUCAAGGCUCGGCCAAAAUCUUCUUCAGACUGGUGCACCUGGAUAGACAAACUUCAACCUCAUUUUGAAAAAAUAUGGAAGCAUCUGGGUAUUUUUUAUCUCAUUCAAAUGUCUAGGCAUCAGAUGUUUAUGGAGCAGGAUCUGCUUUGUGUUGCUUUGAGAUUUUGGUCUCCUUCUGUUCAUGCUUUCAUUUUCCUUUUUGGGCCUACUUCUUGACUCUUAAGGAUAUUAUUUUCCUCACUGGUUUGCCUGUAUUGGGGGAGAAACGACCAUACUGCUAGAUGCUAGGGAUCCAUUUUUACCAGCUCAUGAGGUAUCUUCCACUUUACAUUAUUCUUAUCACUGCAUUAUUCUAAGAUGGUUUAGAGGUAGUGGCUUACCUUCUAUAGUUGAGCACAUUGACUUCCUAUGGGUUCUCAUCAGUCAAUACAUUAUUUACCCUCUGUUUAGUAAGCCCUCCAUAGAGAUACUUCCUAUAGCUCGGGCCAUGGUAUUUGGGAGGAACUUCGCAUUGGGUACUAUGCUUUUGGCUUGUACUUAUCAUUCUCUUUAGUGGCUGUUACUGAUUUAUCUUUGUUCAGAGCUGCCUGUCACUUAUGGCUAGUUCAACUUUGGUUGUUUGCUUACUUUCCCACACUCAAAUUAGAGCCAUGUCAGUCUCCUCUCAUUUUCCCAAGCAUAGAGCUGAUGACUGUUACCACCUAAUUAGGAGUUGUUGAAAUCUUUACCUUUUUCUAUUCUUUGACUGAGAGAUCCAUCCAGCAUCUUGAUAUUUGGGGCGGUCGCGAUUCAUUGGUUAAUCCAUAGGAGUUUCAUUGUAUUGCUUCAAAUUCGAAUGCUUUACUUGAUCUUAGGACGAAGCUCUUUUAUGCUUUUACCACUAGCCGUCUAUUAGUUAUUAAGGGUUCUCUUUACUUCACCAAUGCUCCCUCUAUUACUCCUCCAUGAUUUGUGAGAUAUUUGCCUUAUUUAUAGCGCAGACAAUUUGGAUUUUACUAGGUGAUUCCUCAUGUUGACUUUUUUGCUCUCUCAAUCCCUAACCAUAUGACUAUUGAUGAUGUUCGAUAUUUAUUAGGACAACAAGGAUCUAUUUCUUGCUCCAUUAUUCUAGUCAGUAGAGCAGAGACUUUUGCUUUCGAGAGUUGGUGGCCUUCGCUUUAUUCUAGUCUUGUACCUAACACUCUUAAGUCGAUGCUGGCAAGUAUAUAUUUCUCUAAUAAUUUUAUUUCUUUUGAUAUUUUCUUCUUUCCUUUUUUAAGGGCUAUCUCCUGCUCCUCAGACUAAAAAAUUAAAGACUACAGCUACCCCUGCUACUUAAAAGAUGUCUAAUAAAAAGCAAUUUCUCAUUCCUCAAUCAUAGCUUUUUCUUCACCAAAGAUAAAAGUGUCUAGGCCAAAACCUCCUCCUAAAGUUAUUACUGAAGCUCCUUCUACUUGGUGAUGUUAUGAUGAUUCUUGGACUUGCAGAUUUUUUUAUGCUUGACCUAUCAAAUUUUAGGAUCCAUGUCUGAACUUCCAUGUUAUUCACUGGCAAUCCCUACUUCUUAUUUUCUCCAAACUCCAAGGAGGGAUGGUCAGAAAGGAAAUCAGCCAAUGCCUGUCCUUCCACAGAUUUUUGAGGAAAAUAAAUCAAUGAAAAUUCAGUUGAAGUCAAUGACCAUUUACCUAUUUUCCUCGUGAUAAGUGGUUUGUUGAGCAUGUAUUUCACCAAGUCUUUUUGAGAUACCAUAUACACCCUUGAUUUGAGGAGAUAAUGUCUUAACUUUGUAUAGGCAAAAUAAAGGGCUAGACAAGCCUUUUCAAUUGGUGAAAACCUGACCUUAAUAGAGCUUAAAAAUCUACUUAAGUAAUAAAUAGCCUACUCAUGACCAUAGAAUUGGUUAUGCUAACAAAAAACCUAUAGAUUCAUUUGCGGUUGACAAAUAUAACUUAAGUGGAAAUCCAUCUCUAGGAGGCAUUAAGACUAGAGUUUUUUCAAGUAGUCUUUGAUCCUUUCAGAAGCCUUCUGAUGGUGCUUCUCCCAUUUGAACUCUCCUACUUGCUUUAGUUUGAGUAGGUCUGAAAAUUCUUUGGUUUUUCCUGCCAAGUUAGAGAUGAAUCUCCUCAAAUAGUUUGAGUUCCUUUUUUAUUUUGUGGAGGUUUUGCCUCAAUAAUUGCCAUGGCCUUAUUCUUAUCUACCUCCACUCCUUGUUGAUGCAUAAAAAACCUAAGAAGUCUCCUGCCUGGACUCCAAAAGCACAUUUUAACAUAUUCAACUUUAGUUUGUGCUCUCUCAUUCUCUGAAAGCUUUUCCUUAGGUACUCCACAUGGUCAGUAGCUUUUUUAGGCUUUACUACUAUGUCAUCAAUAUAAACUUCCAUAUGAUGACCUAGCAUAUCAUGAAAAAUGGCAUUCAUGGCCUUUUGAUAAGUGGCACCUGCAUCUUUCAAUCCAAAAGGAAUAACAAGCUAUUCAAAUGUCCCUAUUGAUCUUGGACAUCUAAAAACAGUCUUAGAAACAUCAUCUACAACAAUUAAAAUCUAAUUAUAACAUGAAUAACCAUCCAUAAAAGAUAAUAAUUUAUUAGCAGUAGCAUCAAUUAAUAUGUUUGCUAUAGGCAUUACAUUGUAUUUAAAUCUCUAAAAUCAAUAUAUAGCCGUAGCUUCCCAUUCUUUUUCAUAAUAGGCACAAUAUUAGAAAGCCACUAGGAAUACCUUGUUGGUACGAUGAAGCCUGCUUUUAGCAAUUUCUCAAUUUCUUCCUUCACCCUGAGUUCGAUGUCUUUAGACAUUCUCCUGGCUGGUUGUUGAUAUGGAUUAAAUUCUUCCUUGAUGGGAAUGCGGUGCUCUACCAAGCUCUUGCUCAACCUAGACAUUUUUUCAUAGCUCCAUGCAAAGUAAUCCUUGAACUCAUGUAAAGUCUCCACAAUUUCUUUUUUCAAAUCUUCUGGUAAUAAAGUGCUAAUGUACUGUCACGUUUGGUUCUUCUAAGGUGCCAAUGUUAACUUCCUCCAAAGGAUCAUGGACUUCUAGUUUCAUAUCUUUAAAUUUCUAGGACGCUAUUACUAAGUCUUCAAUUUGUAUUUGCUCCACAUCAUCUUUUAGUUCUUUCUCAAAGAUUACUUAUGCUCCAUCCACCUCCUGAAGCCCCUCCAACUCAAGUCUCUCAAAAGUCUGCUACACAAAUAUUUUAAAUAUAGCGACUGUAGCUACUCCCAACUCCUCAUUGGAGUACUCAAUCAUCAAUCUCUUCUAUGAUAGGCUGAGACAUUGGACUGUAUGGCACGAUGGUUGUAGGUUUGAGAAGUGCUUUGAUUUGAUUCUCAGUUUCCUCUCAGCACAUAUAAACAUGUUUGGGAUCUGCAUUCUUUUUCCUUCUUAUCAACUUGAUUGGCCCAGAAUCCACACUAUAGUAUCUGGCUUCUUUUGCAUUUGAAUAAGUGAAAAAAGACUGCCUAUCUGCCCAUAUCACCUCUACUUUAUCACCUUUCUAAAAAAGCAAGAACUGGUGAAGGGAGGAUGGCACACACCAAUUGGCGUCAAUCCAAUCUCUUCCUAAUAGAACAUUGUAACUAGCAGCAGAAUUUACAACAAAGAAAACGGAUAGUGUAAAGUCUGACUUCCAAUAGUGAUCUCGCUAGGUAAGAUACCAAGUGUUUUAGUAAUCUCACUUGUAAAUGCUGAAAUCGGUUGCUAUCAAAUAUUCUUUUAUUUUUCCUAAAGCCUUCACCAUCUUGAGUAGUAAUUUAUUCACCACCGACCCAUUAUCCACGAGCACCCUUGGAAUAGGUUUUCCAUUAAGGUGAGCUUUUACGUAUAAAGGCCUUAUGUGCUUUGUCAUUUCCACAGAUGGUUUCUCAAAUAUUACCUUUUUUGGUUUGUUGGAUUGAGUGGCUUGAAUUAUGAUGCCACUAUAACAAUCCUCCUCUGGUAUUUCAAUUGACUGCCCCCUAAUGUUUGAUGCUCCUUGGAUCCCAACCAAAUCUCUUCAUUCGUUCCUUUAGACAUAAACGAGGGAGGUAAGGUCACAAUAGUAGUAGAACACUUAUAAAGGAUAGGGACCCUUUUUACUAUAAAGGUUCCUUCCACUAACUGAUCUUCAUGCAUAUUGUCAUCAGAAUUCCCAAUAGAAGAUAACAAAUCAUCAUUCUCAUCAGAAUUACUUGUAUUUUCAGUGGUCUUUCUGCAGAAUUUAGACUUUCCUUUACCUAAAGUCUCCGCCAUUUCCUGUUUUCUUUUCUCAUCAGCCUUCUAUCUUUGCAUUCUCCUUUCUAGGUCCUUGUCAAUGACAUCUUCAGGAACUUUUGUGUUGCAACCUAUGUCAUUGGUAACUUGGUUGCACUUUGGGUGGUACAAUAAACUUGGUUGUCCCUUUUGAAAAUUUGGACCUUGAGAAGAAAAUGGCAUUCUCCUCUAAAGUUCUUUGGAAAAAGGUGGUAUAGUAGUAAAUCUCUUUACUUCUUAGGGCUUCUUAGUGAACAAAGACUUCUUAGGAACCCAAAAUUUAUGAAACACCUUUCCUAGCUGAAACUCCACCUCCUUCCCCUUCUUUUGCUUUGCCUUCUUAUUUAACAAAGUCCUUAGAUAAAAAACUAUAGUGUUGAUUGGAGCUACAGUUGGGAAAUGAUCUUCAUUAAUAAGCAUAGCCUCCUUUUUCUCUGGAAACUUUAGGAUUCCUUUAUUAAUCAUGUCCUGAACCAUAUUCAUGAAAGCCCAACAAGAGUUAGUUGAAUGAUUGAAAUUAUUAUACUUAAAAUACUCCUUUUCUUUGAUUUCUUCCUUAAGUGGGAACUUAUGAUCUUAUGGAAGUUUGAUGAAUUUCUCAUUUAGUAAGAAAUCAAAUAUCUCCUCAGUUUUGGAGACAUCAAAUGUGUAUUGAGAUUAUGCAUUAGUAGCAUAUGAUUUCUUCCAGGUUUUAGGGACCUUUUUCACCAAAGAUGGGCAAACACAGCUUCCUGUAUUGCAGAAAUUAGCUACUGCUUUUAUGGGGAAUUGAUCUCCUGAUAGUACGUUCCAAUAGUAGAUUUUUUCUUUUGAUUUUCUUUUCUAAGUAGUUCUUCAUACCCUGUCACUUUUGCUGCAAAUUCAUAAAAAUCUCGAAACUCCAUUCCUUCAAAUUUUUUUCUAAGCUCAAUGUCUGAUCCUCUUUGUGCCAUCUUCACAAAUUCUAUCUCAGGUAAGAAGAUUUUGCAUCUAUUCAUCAUUUUUUUCAACCUAGCAAAGAAGAGAUUAGUGGUCUUUCCUAGCCUUUGAGUUAUCCUCGAUAAUUUUGCAAUGCAUACUUUAGGUUUAGCUCUUAAAAAUUGAGUAUGGAACUAUCUCUCCAUUUCUACCAAGUUAGGAUAGAAUUUCUUGGGAGAGUAGCAUACCAUGUGAAUGUAGCACCAAUAUAAACAAUUUAGAAACAGCCUCAAUUUGAAAUUUACAAAAUUUUCAUAAUUAGCUAGUUCAUCACACUGUACAGUAGACCUAGCUAUAUGUUCAAGAGUUGACUGACCACUUUCUCUUAAAAAUAAUACAAAGUUUGGAAUUUAGUAUCUUCUUGGAUAUGGAUUGUCUUUGUUAAUUGCAUUAGGAUAAGGCUUAUGGAAUUUUGGUUUUCCUACUUGCCUUAGACCUGGACCAUAAAGCUCUUGAACCACAUCUUUUAUAGCUUCCAUAUUCAUCAUCUGAGGCAUAGGUCAAACAAGAGGUCUUGGCUAAUAUCAUAGAUGCCCUCUAUUUAUCAUUUCUGGAGUCAUGCCCCCUAGCAUAGGAUUUUGCAUCCCUUCCUUAUCAUACAUCAGUUGUUGAUUAGUAGGAUUUGUAGUAGCAAAAAUUUAGUAUGGUAACAUAGUCUACCCAUAUGAGGGCGGCUAAUAGGCAUUGCUCCUCUUGGUAAAUUUUCAUCCCUCCUGUAAGGGGGAACACAUCUUUCAUCAGGAACAAGUGGGGCUUGGGGCCUUGGACCAUCAUUCCCCUCUUGAGAACUUGUAGAGGACUGCCCCCUUGCUCUGCAUUCUGCCCUAAAGUUUGUGACGAGACAUCUUGGCCUCU